GACGAACGCUGGCGGCGUGCUUAACACAUGCAAGUCGAGCGGUAAGGCCCUUCGGGUACACGAGCGGCGAACGGGUGAGUAACACGUGGGUGACCUGCCCUUAGCUCUGGGAUAAGCCUGGGAAACUGGGUCUAAUACCGGAUAUGACCUCAUGACGCAUGUUGUGGGGUGGAAAGCCUUGUGCGGCUAGGGAUGGGCCCGCGGCCUAUCAGCUUGUUGGUGGGGUGAUGGCCACCAAGGCGACGACGGGUAGCCGGCCUGAGAGGGCGACCGGCCACACUGGGACUGAGACACGGCCCAGACUCCUACGGGAGGCAGCAGUGGGGAAUAUUGCACAAUGGGCGAAAGCCUGAUGCAGCGACGCCGCGUGAGGGAUGACGGCCU
rnacentral:rRNA from 1 species